UAAUUGUUUUAUGGUUACAUUAGUCUUUUGUUUUACAGGUACGUUUUGUGACUAAUUUGGAGGCCCUUUGUUUUUGAAACAUUGCAACAGGAGAGCCGCGAGUUUAGUGUCGUCGAAUUGGCAAUUAGAUAAGUGUUUAUUUAAAGUAAAUAAUUCCCAGUAUUAGCUUGUGCUUCCUUGUUUCAGAGUUCACAAUCUUGAAAAAAGCAGUUGCGUGCUUUUCAUCAGCAGGAUAGAGUCGCCUGUUGGCGUCUAUUAAUUUGCCUGUCCGGUUUUCGGAAAAAUUUGUGGAAGAUGCGAUACUGAGGAAAAGUAUACAAUUUGAGGACAAGUGGUACGGUUUAAUUGUGUGACGUCAGCUCCGCGCUAGUGAUCCUUAUUGGAGAAGUGGCAUCAGGAGGUGGAGACGGCAUCGUAAUGAUGUCGAUUUUUUUUGUGUUAAAAGGCAAAAAGUUGGCUUUUUUGUUUUACGUUUGGUGGAGCCGUCUCCUCUUGUCUAAUGCAUAGGAUGUGGGUAAGCUAUGUCUGCAGUGGGUGAGGUAUUUGCUUUGUUUGAUUUUAUUUUGUUUAUUUAAUUUGUUGUUGAUUGUUUACUUUUAGGUUUUAGCGUCAACUCGCUGUUGGCGCUCGUCAAGCUGGAAAUUUAUGGGAGCAGCAGAGUGUCCUGUUCGACGAGGUGGAAGCGUUGUUGGCCCGUCUUUUGCAGAGCAUCAAUUUGUGUAGAUUUCAGCGUUGAUAAUAGAUACUUC